rnacentral:rRNA from 1 species
GACGAACGCUGGCGGCGUGCUUAACACAUGCAAGUCGAACGAAGUGGCGAACGGGUGAGUAAUACGUGGGUAACCUGCCUUCCUUUUUGGGAUAAGCCUUGGAAACGGGGUCUAAUACCGAAUAAUGGGGGAUGGGCUCGUGGCCUAUGCGCUUGUUGGUGGGGUGAUGGCCUAACAAGGCGGUGACGGGUAGCUGGCCUGAGAGGGUGACCGGCAACAUUGGGACUGGGCUACGGCCCAGACGCGUACGGGGGGGAGAAGUGGGGGAUAGUGCACAAUGGGCGAAAGCCUUAUGCAGCGACGCCGAGUGGGGGAUGAAGGCUUUCGGGUUGUGAACCUCUUGCACAAUAGAACGGGUAGGUGGGGAAGAAGCGCCGGCUAACUACGUGCCAGCAGCCGCGGUAAUAC